CUCGGGGGUUCUCCCGAUAAACGGAAAAGAACAGGGGAAAAACUCUGACUAUACUCACAGUAAAAAAUUAAUUCGUCUAUUAUUGUAAGCCGCAACUUGCAACCAGUGUUAAAAUUAUGAAUAUUCGAUUAUGAAAUAUGUUUAACGCUCAAAAUUGUGUCGAUUGCAUUCCGAACACCCACAUAACGUUAACGCAGAGUGAGUAUGUAAUCCCGUAAUAGAAAAACGAUUCAUUUAGAAUAAUUAUGAACCGAUUCAAGUGUUUGUUCCGGGCCCAGCGUAUUGGCGAUGUUGUUUGUG